UACAGAGGGGGCAAGCGUUGUUCGGAAUUACUGGGCGUAAAGGGCGCGUAGGCGGCCCGCUAAGUCGAACGUGAAAUCCCCGGGCUCAACCCGGGAACUGCGUCCGAUACUGGUGGGCUUGAAUCCGGGAGAGGGAUGUGGAAUUCCAGGUGUAGCGGUGAAAUGCGUAGAUAUCUGGAGGAACACCGGUGGCGAAGGCGGCAUCCUGGACCGGUAUUGACGCUGAGGCGCGAAAGCUAGGGGAGCAAACGGGG
rnacentral:rRNA from 1 species